rnacentral:tRNA from 1 species
AAGGAUUUAAGUUAAAAAAACUAUUAACCUUCAAAGUUAAAAAUAGAGAUUAUCUAAGCCUUA